UGCCUGUUACAGCAUCGGGUCCUUCUUCAUGGUUCUACUUAAAUGGACCAAUACUGAUACUUAACACGUUCAGUGUGGUCAUGUAUAUCCUGAUACACAUUUGGAGAACAAAAACCGAACUGAAGAGGUUUCAAAAAGGUGGAAAGAGGAUAACGUCUUGCUUUGAUUUCGACACUGAAACGAACCUAAUGUUGUUGCGGCUUUCGGUCCUAAUUGAGGUAUUUUGGAUUCUGGACUUCAUGUUCAGUUAUGUAGAUAUACAUAGUAUCGCUGGCUUGUUCCAUUCGCUUCCGAUCUAUUUCCACCACAGUUUUGGAAUUCUUGUCUUUAUAAUGAUUAUCCUUAAUUAAGCGUAGCACCCUAAAACUUCUAGUGGAUAGAUAUCGGGGAAGACAAUAGGAGGUUUCUAUGGGCACAUAUAAUAUCCUCAUA